CCCAGACUCCUACGGGAGGCAGCAGUGGGGAAUAUUGGGCAAUGGGCGCAAGCCUGACCCAGCAACGCCGCGUGAGGGAAGAAGGCUUUCGGGUUGUAAACUUCUUUUGUCAGGGACGAAGCAAGUGACGGUACCUGACGAAUAAGCCACGGCUAACUACGUGCCAGCAGCCGCGGUAAUACGUAGGUGGCAAGCGUUAUCCGGAUUUAUUGGGUGUAAAGGGCGUGUAGGCGGGAAUGCAAGUCAGAUGUGAAAACUAUGGGCUCAACCCAUAGCCUGCAUUUGAAACUGUAUUUCUUGAGUGCUGGAGAGGCAAUCGGAAUUCCGUGUGUAGCGGUGAAAUGCGUAGAUAUACGGAGGAACACCGGUGGCGAAGGCGGCUUACUGGACGAUGACUGACGCUGAGGCUCGAAAGCGUGGGGGGCAAACAGGAUUAGAUACCCCCGUAGG
rnacentral:rRNA from 1 species